rnacentral:lncRNA from 1 species
GACAGACUAUUGGAAAUGACUGUUGGAAAAUAUGUCCCAAAAGUCAAUCGUCAAACUGUUGACGGUUGAACAACCAAGUAUUGUAAUUGAUUUGUUAAUAAAUAAAAUAUAUUUAUCAUCUUCAUCAUAAGCUUUCAUCUUCUAAUGAACUCCGUUGUUAUGAUGAAGUCCUUAGGACUAUUUAAGUUCGAUAAAGAGAGGAUUUAUUGAUUAGUCCUUAAAACUG